rnacentral:lncRNA from 1 species
CGUCACGGCCCGGGACGAUGUCACACAAAUGACGUAAAGCCACGGCUGAGUCAGAGCGGCAGCACUGGGGCUGCUGAAGGGAACGAGGGCGACCGGCUGGCACACUGGCGCGACGCUCCGCCCGCCGCCGCAGGCGCCACCGCGGAGCGCCACAGGAAAAGCAACGGCCAAAACCGCCACACCACGAGGGCCACAUCCGGGUCCCCCGCGCAACAACCACCACCGCGCACGCGCCUUCCUCCGCCUCUGGGAGGCGGGACUGAAGCUUCCAACAGCCUUUCUGAUUGGCUGCCGUCCCGGGGGCGACCGGGGAUUAGCCACUGUUUAGGAGGGCGGGCGUUGCCAGCCCGCUGGCCGGCCAUUGGUCAGGACCGCCGGGGAGCCGCUCGCCCGUUGGCGGACCGGCGCGUCCGGUCCGGGGCCGGAGGAGGGUGCCAUUGGCUGGAAAGUAGGUUAGUGGUGCGACGUUGGGUGGCAAGCCAGGCGGAAAGUAGGUCAGGGACGGGGGCUGCCUGCGCCGGGCGCCGCUGCGAGCGUGCCGCGCGCUGCCGAGGGAGGGCGACCCCCUCCCCCCGCGGGGGCGCGCGAGCCCGCGGUGAGCCGUUAACGGGCGGUGGGCGACCGUUGGGGGGGGGCGCGCGCGCGGAGGGGGUGGGCGGCCCGCGCUCCGCGCUGGGGAGGCGGUGGCGUCGCCCCCUGCAGGGUGAGGGGAGGGCAGGGAGCGGCCGGCCCCUCCGCUGCACCCCGGGCCGCCGCCGGCCACCCCCCCCGCCGCUGGAGCUGUGCCCUCCGGCAGGCCACGGGGAGCUACCUGCCCCGGGGGAGGCGGGGGCUGCGGUUUCCCCGGGUGGAGGUGGCCGGGCCCGGGCGGCGGCGGUGCCGGGCAAUGUCCCUCGGAGCCGAGACGGGGCGAGGGGGGCGAGCGCAGCGGCCCCGGCGCGGGCUGUCUCGGUGUGGCGGGACCCGGAGAGGACGGAGCGGGCGCCAGCCGCGGCCGUUUGCAGUCGGCCCCGGCCCCUAGGGCAGAGCCGAAGCCGCGGGGUCCUGGCGGCGGCGCCUCUUUGGGAGGAAGGAAGGGGCGGGAACGGGGGUCCCGGAGCUCGGUGGAGGCAGUGCUAG